rnacentral:rRNA from 1 species
GAGUUUGAUCGUGGCUCAGAUUGAACGCUGGCGGCAGGCCUAACACAUGCAAGUCGAGCGGUAGAGAGAAGCUUGCUUCUCUUGAGAGCGGCGGACGGGUGAGUAAUGCCUAGGAAUCUGCCUGGUAGUGGGGGAUAACGCUCGGAAACGGACGCUAAUACCGCAUACGUCCUACGGGAGAAAGCAGGGGACCUUCGGGCCUUGCGCUAUCAGAUGAGCCUAGGUCGGAUUAGCUAGUUGGUGAGGUAAUGGCUCACCAAGGCGACGAUCCGUAACUGGUCUGAGAGGAUGAUCAGUCACACUGGAACUGAGACACGGUCCAGACUCCUACGGGAGGCAGCAGUGGGGAAUAUUGGACAAUGGG